rnacentral:misc_RNA from 1 species
GAAAUGCGAUAAGUAAUGUGAAUUGCAGAAUUCAGUGAAUCAUCGAAUCUUUGAACUCACAUUGCGCCCCCUGGUAUUCCGGGGGGCAUGCCUGUUCGAGCGUCAUUUCACCACUCAAGCCUCGCUUGGUAUUGGGCGACGCGGUCCGCCGCGCGCCUCAAAUCGACCGGCUGGGUCUUUCGUCCCCUCAGCGUUGUGGAAACUAUUCGCUAAAGGGUGCCGCGGGAGGCCACGCCGUAAAACAACCCCAUUUCUAAGGUUGACCUCGGAUCAGGUAGGGAUACCCGCUGAACUUAAGC